rnacentral:rRNA from 1 species
UAGUCCACGCCGUAAACGAUGUCAACUAGCCGUUGGGAAUUUUACAUUCUUAGUGGCGUAGCUAACGCGCUAAGUUGACCGCCUGGGGAGUACGGACGCAAGUUUAAAACUCAAAUGAAUUGACGGGGGCCCGCACAAGCGGUGGAGCAUGUGGUUUAAUUCGAUGCAACGCGAAGAACCUUACCAAUCCUUGACAUCCAGAGAAUUUGCUAGAGAUAGCUUAGUGCCUUCGGGAACUCUGAGACAGGUGCUGCAUGACUGUCGUCAGCUCGUGUUGUGAAAUGUUGGGUUAAGUCCCGUAACGAGCGCAACCCUUGUCUUUAGUUGCCAUCAUUAAGUUGGGCACUAUAAAGAGACUGCCGGUGUCAAACCGGAGGAAGGUGGGGAUGACGUCAAGUCCUCAUGGCCUUUAUGAUCAGGGCUACACACGUACUACAAUGGCCGGUACAAAGGGCAGCCACAGGGCAACCUGGAGCGAAUCCCGUAAAACCGGUCUCAGUCCGGA